GAUGAAGAACGUAGCGAAAUGCGAUAAGUAAUGUGAAUUGCAGAAUUCAGUGAAUCAUCGAAUCUUUGAACGCACAUUGCGCCCGCCAGUAUUCUGGCGGGCAUGUCUGUCCGAGCGUCAUUUCAACCCUCGAACCCCUCCGGGGGGUCGGCGUUGGGGACCUCGGGAGCCCCUAAGACGGGAUCCCGGCCCCGAAAUACAGUGGCGGUCUCGCCGCAGCCUCUCCUGCGCAGUAGUUUGCACAACUCGCACCGGGAGCGCGGCGCGUCCACGUCCGUAAAACACCCAACUUCUGAAAUGUUGACCUCGGAUCAGGUAGGAAUACCCGCUGAACUUAAGCAUAUCAAUAAGCGGAGGA
rnacentral:misc_RNA from 1 species